UACACAGCUUCUUUUUCUCCUUCAUGACUGUGCUGCAAUGAGACACGGCGCAGACGCUUUGGCUCAACAUUACAGCAAACGUGAACACACGACACAAUCUUCGGUAAUGGUGCAAGGAGGAGGGAGUUGGACCUGUUCAUCCUUAUGGAUCCUUUCCAAUUUGAGACAUUCCAUGAUUCUACUAUUACAUUUAACUACACUGCUGUGAGUGUGCUGUUCCCUGUUGAUGUUGAAAUGUCUUGGAUGCUUCUGGAAACUGUGCCCUCCAGAGGAUGCCAGACAGGGAUUUUCUGAUCAGCUGAGAUCCAGAUGGAAUUUCACAUCAAAGAGACACUGAAGGAGACAAAGGAUAGAUGUUCUGCCCAUGCCUAUCUAAAAUAACAAUUUGUCACAGGAUAUACAAGGGUUUGAACUCUACUCUCAAGCAUGUGUGUUUUGGACAGUAUUUAUACCGAGACAACUCAGGAGAAGAGCAAUAAACUUGAAACACACAGCCAUCUGGAAACCUAUAGCUGACCUCUCCAGAUGCACUCGUUUUUCAACCUCGACUAGUUCUGAAAUCCUUGCCACCCUAACCUCUGUAAUACCAUUCAGCACGUCUGGUGCUUUCUAGAAGAGCCAUUUCUUGGGUGUGAUAUGAGAUUGAUGUGAUGUGAUAUGAUAUGCUAUGAUAUGAUAUGAUAUAUUAGCUUUUCUUACUUCAUACCAGUUCCUCCAGGAAGGGUGUGGCUUAUCCUGGUCCUGUUCUUGCUACCAGACCUUCUCAUUUCAGGUCUAGUAUGGGCACUCUUGAACAGCAGCACCUCUUGUGAUGGCACUGAGUCAGUAACUAAAGAAAUUCAAGGAAUGUUGAACCCUCGGUGAAGCAUCACAAUCCAAUUUUAAAAGAAAUGACAAUCUGAUGGCAGGGUAUCCUUGCAUUUUGUAGUAAAGACUACAAUGUAGCAACAUGUACAUCAAACUCUGCACUGAUCAGCCAGCCUCAGCCUGUGCAUUUUCCUGCCUUAUGGCAGCAGCAAUCUUUGACAUACUUAAAUACAAUAUGCCUAAUUCUGAAUAAAGGUAUUGAAAGAGUAAUUCUGUUUCUCUCCUUUGAGUAAGGUAUUUCCCCAGUGAGAGAUCAGUGGAGCUUCCAUAAAGAGAAAUGCAAGUGUGUGUGUGGGCUAAGCUAAAGAUUCCCUUUUAUCAGUUCAUAAAGACAACAUAUUCUAACACAUCUAGCAAAAAGCUGGAAUGUUCACACAAAGGCUUGGGAACACUGUCAUCACUGGGUGGAAUUAGGCACAAACUGCAGUUGGGGAAACAGUUGCUUGGGCUUUGUGUCCUUGAAAUAUAUUUAACACAACCUGCCACUGAAAAAAACUGGAUUUCAGUUAUCCUAACAAGGGAGAGUUUUCUCAGCUGAAGGGAGCUUCAAAAGGUGGAGCAUUUCUCUGCUGCUCAUGACUGCCUGAACUGUUCUUCCCUGAAGCUGCUGCCAGCUGAAGUUCCUGUUUUAACAGAUCUGUGAACAAUAUUA